rnacentral:rRNA from 1 species
UACGAAGGGGGCUAGCGUUGCUCGGAAUUACUGGGCGUAAAGGGCGCGUAGGCGGCACUGUUAGUCAGGCGUGAAAGUCCUGGGCUCAACCUGGGAACUGCGCUUGAUACGGCAGAGCUAGAGGAUGGAAGAGGCUCGCGGAAUUCCCAGUGUAGAGGUGAAAUUCGUAGAUAUUGGGAAGAACACCGGUGGCGAAGGCGGCGAGCUGGUCCAUUACUGACGCUGAGGCGCGACAGCGUGGGGAGCAAACAGU